ensembl:processed_transcript Gm15927 predicted gene 15927
GACCUAGAGCUUUGCAGCAGAGAAUGACCUUGAACUUCAAGUCUUCCUGCUUCCAUUUCUCAAAUACUGGAUUUCAGAUAGGCCACUCAUCAGGACCAUACAUACCUGUGUCCACCUUGUCAGCAUUGGAAUGGCAAAUACAUGCUACCAACUCCUUGCCUUUAUAUGGGUGCCAAGUAUUGAACUCAUGGUUUUAUGCUGUUGUUUUGGCUUUAUUUUGGUUUUGGGGUUUUUCAAGACAGGGUUUCUCUGUGUAGCCCUCAAUGUCCUGGAACUUACUCUGUACACCAGGCUGUCUUUAGACUCAGAGAUCUGCCUGCUUCUGCCUUCCAAGGUUCCCAUGUUUUUAUGAAAUACACUUUACCAACAGUG